UGGCUUAGUGGUAGAGUGCUUGCCUUGCAUGCAUGAGACCCUGGGUUCGAUUCCUCAG
rnacentral:tRNA from 1 species